rnacentral:lncRNA from 1 species
AGAAAAGCACUUGAAUUAAUCAAAUUAUUGUAAGAAUCGAUUCUUAAAAGUGAAGUAUUUUCCAAAAUCCAAAGUUCAACAACCAACAAUCCAAAUUUGAAAAUUAACAAAGAGUCCUACCCCAAAAAUGAGGUUUUUGGUCCUAUUUAUAAUAAAAGAAUCCUAAACAUAAAGGGAAACCUAAAUAUGGAAAUAUGUCCAAAAAUGUGUCUAACGUCAAUGACCUUACCGACGGAGCGUCGAGGCAGCGACGGAUCUUCAACACCUCCGUCGGUCCAUACUUUAACUAUAUUUUUAGCUGCUUUCUUAUCCAAGUGUCUGUUACCAUCAACAGACCAAGACGACGAUCCGUUGAUAUGACGAUGGGCCAUCGAUGGCCUUCGUUGCCCCACACUUAGAAUCUUUUCAAAUCAGGUACUGGGGCUGCAUGUUGUUAACACCAACGGAUCACCAGGACAGACCGUCAUGCCUUUCAUAGACCCACACUUAGUAGGAAUCCCCCGAUCUUUCCUUGGCAGCAUAACAUCUUCAUGGCGACGGUUGCCACCUACGGACCGUCGAUGGGUCGUUGGACCGUUGAUGGCUCCGUAGGUCAUCUUUUAUGUAAUUUUCAGCACAUCUUCAGCGUUUUCAUUCUGGACAGUUUGUCCUGCAAAAACAAAGAAAAAUUUAUUAAAACUACUUCAAAGAGGCCUUGAACACACACUAAACUUAAGGAAAAAGCAUUGGAAGUACCGUGAAACCACGGUACAUCAACACCCUCAACUUAAAUUCGUUGUUUAUCCUCAAGCGACAAACUAUGACUCACCACAAAAACCUUUGUAUAAAAGUAUCACUAUUUUAUCUUUCACAAUCAUCUGGCUAGCAAUUUCGAUUAUUUUCAUUAUGUUCAUGCAUGAUAUUACUAUUAGGCUAACUUAUGUGGAUCAGACCAUGACACAGACUAAUGAUGCACCGACUCCUCUUUUAUCUCUCACGAAGGUGCCAACUCUGCAGUAUUGCAACUAGUGCCUUUCUUUAAAAGCAAUAUCCUCCUUUUCACACAUGAUUUCAAUUUGAGUAUAAGUAUUAUUUUUUUCAACACUCACUCUCAAAAUAACUUAUCACCUCAUUGGUACUUUGUCAUCAUAUGCUUGCCCUUUUUUCACUGCUUUAAGUUCACCAUAUUAGACUCUCCUGAUCACAAUAGAACUUUCUUAGCUUAUAAUAUAGGCUCAGGGUCAGGUAGGGUACAAUUGGAUGCAUUUUAGUGAAUUUUUUCCCUCCAUGAUAUAACGGCUAAGCGUCCUACCUUUACGUUGUUUAUUCCGCCCUAUUCUUAAUUUUCUUAUAUUCUUUUGCCUUGCUUUUCUCCUUUCUUUCUCCUUUUGAGUAAAUGACUCUUCUUUUUAAUUUUUUUUUAAUUUUCAAAUUUUUCACUUGAUUUCAACUUUGGUUGAUUCACUUUUCUUUUCUUCUUUAUCUCUCUUUAUUCUUUCAACCCCACUUUCUGGAGCAUUUCUCAUAAUAGUCACCCUCAACUCAUGGCUUUAUCAUGAGUCAAGGUACACAAUACCGAAGGUUGGGUCAUGUCCAAGACGUGGUUGUUUUAUGCAUUAGCCAUCCUCCACAUAUGCUUUUGGCAUAAGCUGAGGUACACAUGACCAAGGAGAGACAAGGGCCCACACAUUAUUCCCAAAAAAGAUGAAUUUAGGUAGAAAAGAAAGGUCCAUCUUAAGCUCAAAUCAUUUGGAUCAAGAAGGGAAUAAUUUCAUUUGGUUUUCUUUUAUCUAGGCUAAAGAUUUGUUGUCUUUGAACAAAGGUGUAUGAUCCUUUUCCUAUUGUCUAUCACAUAUUACUUUUAGCAGGACUAACCGCGCAACUUCUAGCUCAGUAUCAAUGGUGGAAUACUCAAAUUUCCUCACUCACUGAAAACCUCAUUACCCUACCAGAUUAUCAGACACCUAGUUCUAGCUGAAGAUUGAGGGUCAUGUAGGGGUAUAUCUCUAUGUCAUGCUUAGAGCCACACAUUCAUCAUUCACUAUGUCUAAUCAUGCAAGCAUUUUCUUUAAAUUAGGAUAUCAUUUUAUUUAUUCAUCAUGCUUCAGAUUUCAUAUCAAUACUAUGUACAAGAUACUAAUGUGUCGGUUCCACAGUAAAGUAAAUAGUCUCUUGGAGAAAAAGAACAUAGGCAAGAAAACUCCAAGAGAGUAUAUUGCAUUGGGCUAUUCAGACUUCACCCUAGCACUAACUUUCCAUUUAUCCCACCCCCAACAAAAGAGCGUGCAAUUGUCCCCGAUGCAUAAAAAAUAUAAAACUGAAUGGUAGAUGAAGUAAACCUGAGGUGCAAAGCACCGAUGAUCAACAAGGUGGGGGGUCCGAUUUCUCGCAAUCUGCUCCCUCUGUAGUAGGGACACCGUCAGUAAUGUCUGCAACAAUAACAACAACCUCAAUAGUGAUCCUCUCAACAUCAGCAAUCCUGGAGCUAGAUGCCCCAGCAGCCAGCGCUUGAGCCCUCAUCUGUCAGGCCUCCUCAUUAAUCAACGAGGCUCUUCUCGCAGCCUCCAACUCAAGAUAUUCUCUCUUUCUAGCUCGAGUCUCAUCAUCCUCUCUAGAUCGGUGCCUCUUGGUGUCACGACCCAAAUAGGAUCGCGACUGGCACCCACACUUACCCUCCUAUGUGAGUGAACCAACCAAUCUAAACCUUAACAUUUCAAUGUAAUAACAACAGAAAGUAAUGCGGAAGACUUAAACUCAUUAAUAAAAACCAAUUCAAUAACUAUCAAUAUUCAACAUCUAUUAUUCCCAAAACCUGGAAGUCAUCAUCACAAGAACAUCUACUUUAAACUACUAAUUCUAAGAGUUUCUAAGAAGCUAAAAAUACAUAAGAAGCUAGUCAAUGCCGGAAGUUCAAGGCAUCAAGAUAUGAAGGAGAAGAUCCAGUCCAAGCUAGAAGCGUUAGCUCACCCUGAAGAUCCGGUGUGACGAAGACUGGCUUGAGUUACUGUUGAGUCGAAGAUGACGGCACGUUUGCUGCACUCCACAAAUAACAAGAAGAAAAACAUAAAAGUAGGGGUCAGUACAAAACACGGGUACUGAGUAGAUAUCAUCGGCCAACUCAAAAUAUGGAACAGUAUAUAUCAAAUAUUAUCGUAAAUCAACUAUAAAACUCAACAUGUAGCAACAACAAGUACUAUAAUCAUCAAUAAGUACCAUCAAGUUCAUCCAUGAGGGCUCAAGUCUCAAUACCAUACUCAUUUGGGAAUUAAGUUUAUUAAGUUGAGUAUAUUAUCAUCUUUCAAGAUUCAUUAUCUUUCUUCCUCUCGUGUAGGUACGUGAUACUCCGAUCCCCUACUGCUAUGUGUCGGUACGUGACACUCUGAUCCCCUAAUUCUACGUGUCGGUUCAUGACACCCGAUCCCCUAUAUGUGUCGGUACGUGACACUCCGAUCCCCUAUAUGUGUCGGUACGUGACACUCCGAUCCCCUAUAUGUGUCAGUACGCGACACUCCGAUCCCCUAAUUCUACGUGUCGGAACGUGACACUCCGAUCCACUAAUACUAUGUGUCGGAACGUGACACUCCGAUCCACUAAUACUAUAUGUCGGAACGUGACACUCCGAUCCCCUAUAUGUGUCGGUACGUGACACUCCGAUCCCCUAAUUCUACGUGUCGGAACGUGACACUCCGAUCCACUAAUACUAUGUGUCGGAACGUGACACUCUGAUCCACUAAUACUAUGUGUCGGAACGUGACACUCCGAUCCACUAAUACUAUGUGUCGGAACGUGACACUACGAUCCACUAAUUUCAUUCUGUAAAUCAUCAAGCCUUCUCUAUACCAAGGCAUCAUCAAUCACAUUACUUUAAUUCAUCAAGCCUUCUUCUAUGCCAAGGCCUCAUAAUUAAUAAUGUAUAUUAAAGUUUCUUUUCAAGAUUUGGGAUUCAAUAUUUUCAUCAUGCUUAUCUUAUCACAAUCACAUAAUCAUAUUCAUGCAAACAUACCAUUAAGCAUAUAGUAGGGUUUACAAUACUACCAAUACAUAUCAUUCACUAUUAAGAGUUUACUUAUGAAAGCAUGAAACCAUAACAUACCUCCACCAAAAAAUUGAAAUCAAGCAAGUUAAUCCUCAAAGCUUUGUUUCUCCCUUCUCGUUUGAUUCUCUCUCUCUCUCAACUUUCUCUCUCUUUCUCUUGUUCUUUCUAUUUUCUUUAUUCAAACCAUCUUUCUUUUACCCUAAUUAGUAUAUAAUUAAGAAUAAAAGAUGGCAAUAAUACCCCACUAAUUAACUUAAGGUUAACUCUUUUAACCCCCAAGUAAUUAGACUUAUAAUCCUUAACCCUCUAACUUUAUAAUUAAGGCAAGAAUAGUCAAAAAUGUCCCUUAAAACGUAUCAAGAAAACCGACCCAGACUGGGAUUGCGCAAGCUGUGACGGGCCGUCGUGCCUGCGACGGUCCGUCCUGCAGGUCGUCGCAAGGGUCAGAGAGUCAAUUUCCACUGAACAAUCUAUGACGGUCCGUCACGCCUGUGACGGUCCGUCCUGCCAUUCCGUCACGAAGUUCAGAGAGACAAUUUUUAGUACACAAUUUCAGAUUUUCUAAGUGUUUUGAAACGAGACCCUGCGACGGUCCGUCGUGCCCAUGACGGUCCGUCGUUGGGUUCGUCGCCUCAGCCUGUUUUUCCAGAAAUAAAAUCUGCUGCACAAAUGAAUCGUUCGCUCAGACUGACCAUCGGUCUGAGGAUGGAAUGCAGUACUAAGGUCCAACCUAGUACCCAAUUCCGCAUGCAAUGUUUUCCAAAACUUAGAAGUAAACUGCGUACCUCUAUCUGAUAUGAUGGAUAGUGGAACCCCAUGCAAUCGCACCACUUUCGAGAUGUAAAGUUUGGCUAACUUUUCUGCAUUGUAAGUCACCUUGACCGGAAUGAAAUGAGCAUAUUUAGUUAACCUAUCAACAAUCACCCAAAUGGAGUCAUACUUACCCAUUGUCUUCGGAAGACCAACCACAAAAUCCAUUGCAAUUCUUUCCCACUUCCAUUCCGUAAUGGGCAUUCUCUGAAGCGUUCCUCCGGGCCUUUGGUGUUCAUACUUUACUUGUUGACAGUUUGGACACUUGGCAAUAAAGUCAACAAUAUCACGCUUCAUUCUGCUCCACCAAAAGUGUUGUUUUAGGUCACGAUACAUCUUGGUUGCACCCGGAUGUAUAGAAUACCUUGAACUAUGAGCCUCUAUCAAAAUAGUGUUGAUCAAAUCAUCGACGCGGGGUACACAUACCCUUCCCUUGAUCCUCAAAACACCUUCCUCAUCGAUUUGUGCUUCCUUAGCCUCCCCUCGCAACACUUUAUCUUGGAUUCGCCUUAGUUUCUCAUCAUCAAACUGUUUUCCCUUAAUUUUGUCAAGAAAAGAAGAUCUUGACUCCACACUAGCCAACAAUCCUCCCUUCUCAUUUACUUCUAAUCUCAUCAAGCCAUUAUCUAGAGUCUGAACCUCUCUAGCCAAUGGGCGUCUAGAAGCUUGCAAGUGAGCUAGACUUCCCAUGCUUCCUGCCUUUCUACUUAAACCAUCUGCUACAACAUUCGCUUUUUCCGGAUGAUACAAGAUAGUGAUAUCGUAGUCCUUUAGUAGCUCCAUCCAUCUCCGUUGCCUCAAGUUCAAAUCCUUCUGAGUAAAGACAUACUGAAGGCUACGAUGAUCCGUGUAGACCUCACACUUAACCCCAUAUAAAUAGUGUCUCCAUUGUUUUAAUGCAAACACUACCGCAGUCAAUUCCAAAUCAUGAGUUGGAUAGUUACGUUCAUGCACUUUUAAUUGUCUUGAAGCAUAAGCAAUCACAUUCUUCUCUUGCAUUAGCACUGCACCCAAACCCGAAUAGGAUGCAUCACAAUAAACAAUGAAGUUCUUACCCUCUACUGGCAAGGUAAGGAUAGGUGCAGUAGUCAACAAGGUCUUGAGCUUCUGAAAGCUUUCCUCACAUUCGUCCGACCAUACAAAUGGAACAUUCUGCUUAGUCAAGUUCGUCAAUUGGGAAGCAAUAGAAGAGAAUCCCUUGAUAAAUCGACGGUAGUAGCUAGCUAACCCAACAAAGCUCCUUAUUUCUGACACAUUAGUAGGUCUUACCCAAUUCUUCACUCUCUCAAUCUUAGAAGGAUCCACCAUCACUCCAUCCUUAGAAACCACGUGCCCCAAGAAGGACACUGCAUCUAGCCAAAACUCACACUUAGAGAACUUGGCAUAAAGCUUUUUCUCCCUCAAUAUUUCCAAUACCAUUCUCAAAUGCUCUUCAUGUUCCUUCUUGCUCUUUGAGUAUACCAAUAUAUCAUCAAUAAAUACGAUCACGAAGAGGUCCAAAUAUGGCUUAAAACUCCCGUUCAUCAAGCUCAUGAACGCAGUAGGGGCAUUUGUAAGACCAAAAGACAUAACUACAAAUUCGUAAUGCCCAUACCUCAUUCGAAAAGCAGUCUUUGGCACAUCCAUUGCCCGUAUUUUCAAUUGAUGAUAACCGGAUCUCAAGUCAAUCUUAGAGAAGACACAAGCACCUUGUAACUGAUCGAACAAAGCAUCAAUGCGGGGAAGAGGAUACUUGUUCUUUAUGGUUACCUUGUUUAGUUGUCUGUAGUCUAUACACAUUCGAAAACUCCCAUCCUUCUUCUUUACAAACAAAACCGGAGCACCCCAAGGAGAUGCACUUGGUCUAAUAAAGCCUUUGUUUAACAACUCUUGAAGUUGGGCUUUUAACUCUCUUAACUCCGCGGGAGCCAUUCUAUAAGGGGGUAUAGAAAUGGGGCGAGUACUCGGUUCAAGAUCGAUACAGAAGUCAAUAUCCCUAUCUGGUGGCAUACCAGGAAGAUCUGCAGGGAACACAUCCAGAAACUCACGGACCACCGAAACCGACUCAAUCGAGGGUACUUGGGUAGUGUAAUCCUUGAGAUGUGCCAAGAAAGCUAAACACCCUUUACUAACCAUUUUCUUAGAACGAAGAAAGGAGAUGAUACGCACCGGAUUGGAAGUGUAGUCACCCUCCCACACUAACGGAUCUGUCCCAGGCUUGGCUAACGUCACCGUUUUAGCAUUACAAUCCAAGAUCGCAAAUUGUGGAGAAAGCCAAGUCAUACCCAGAAUUACAUCAAAAUCAUCCAUUUCUAAGAUAACCAAAUCUACAUAAGUGUUGCUCCCCACAAAGUUCACCAAACAAGACCUAUAUACCCUUUCAACUAUCACAGACUCACCCACCGGAGUAGAAACACGAAUAGGUAUGUCAAGCAAUUCACAAUGUAAAUUAAGACCAUUAGCAAAUGCGGAAGAUACAUAAGAAAAUGUGGAUCCGGGAUCAAAUCAUACAGAAGCCAUGCAAUCACAAACCAAAAGAUUACCUGUGAUGACAGCAUCAAAUGCCUCCGCUUCAGACCGCCCAGGGAAAGCGUAACAAUGGGCCCUAUCGUUCGUCUGUCUGUUGCCCCUACCAUGUUGUGAUGUAGUGGCUCCAGUUUGCCCAUCACCUCGGCCGUUUUGGUGACCACCAUUUCCUCGACCACCACGCCCUCCAGAAAAACGGCCUCUACCAUGACCACCUCUACCUCUAGCUAUUGGGGGUCUGUAACUCUGUUUUGGACAAUUUCUCCUAAUAUGUACAGUCUCCCCACAUCCGUAACACUCUCUGGAGUCAAGCAUAGGUCUCUCGGAGGAGUGUUGACCGGUCUGAGGUGGUCCCCCAACUACAGUUUGUAGUGAAGAAUGAAUUGGUCGGACUGAGUAACUUCCCGAACCCUGUCCUCUAGUGUAAGCACCAUUAAACUCACCUCCCUUUCGAAACCUUUUUGAUGUCGAUGUCGUAGUGAAGUCGUCUGGCUUCACUCCUUCCACUUCUAUCACAAUGUCUACCACCUCUUGGAAGGAUUUUGCCGUUGCCGCUAUCUGUAAGGCCGAAAUCCGCAAUUCUGACCUCAACCCCUUCAUAAACCGGCGAAUUCGCUCUUGUGGACUGAAACACAGUAGGGUGGCAUACCGGGAUAAUGCACGAAACUUAGCCUCAUAUGCAUUGACCGACAUCCUACCUUGCUCUAGGCUCAAGAACUCAUCCCUUUUCCUAUCCCUCAAAGUUCGGGGGAUAUACUUCUCCAUAAACAAGCUAGAGAAUGAGGCCCAAGUCAUAGGUGGUGCCUCUGUUGGUUGACACUCAAUAUGUGACUGCCACCACAUUUUGGCGUUCCCUUGAAACUGAUAAGUCACAAACUCCACACCUAACCGUUCUACUAUACCCAUCUUGUGUAGUAGCUCGUGACAGUCAACCAGAAAAUCAUAAGCAUCCUCCGAUUCAGCACCCUUGAAGACCGGAGGUUUCAAUUUCAAGAACUUACUGAAAAGUUCAUGCUGAUCAUUUGUCAUUAUAGGCCCAGUAGUCAGACGUGGAAAUGUGCCUAUGUCCAAUGAGGCCUCCAUACGAUGAGCCAUAGUGGCUGCAUGUUGUACUUCUUAAACUGGAGGUUUUGGCGCAGAAAACACUGGAGGUGCCUGACCUUGAUCAGACAACCCACUGAGAUAAGCGAGCACUUGAUUUAUCAUCUCUGGGGUAGGCUGGGGUGGCAAUACCUCAUUCUGCACUUGUUCAAUUUCCCCAUCCUCCCCUUCUCUUAUUACUUCCUCAGUCGGUGGAGGAGUCACUGCCCUAGUAUCAGAUGGGCUAGGUGCUCGUCCUCUUCCCCUAGAGGACGUCCUCCCACGACCUCUACCACGGCCUCUUGCCGCUGCUCUUCCUCGAGCUAUAGCCCCAGUGCCUGGCUCAGACGCACCCUGUUCCGCCGGUGCUGGUGUUGGUGUUGGCGUAGUCGUUGCUCUAGUUCUAACCAUCUGCGAAAGAGAGUGAAGAUGGUCAGAUACCAAUUCGUAUCGCCUAGAUACCAAUUGGACUCAAUUAGUAGCACGAAAGAAAGAAUGAAAGAGUGAAAUUUUACCUAAAAUCUUAUAGCCUCUCAAGGAAAAGUAAAGGCGUCCCCCUACCGUUCCUUAAGACUCUACUAGACCUGUUCUUGUGUGAUGAGACCAACGAACCUAAUGCUCUGAUACCAAGUUUGUCACGACCCAAAUCCGAGCCGCAACUGGCACCCACACUUACCCUCCUAUGUGAGUGAACCAACCAAUCUAACCUUAACAUUUCAAUAUAAUAUCAACAGAAAGUAAUGCGGAAGACUUAAACUCAUUAAAUAAAGACCAAUUCAUUAACUUCUAAAAUUCAACAUCUAUUAUUCCCCAAAAUCUGGAAGUCAUCACCACAAGAACAUCUACUUUAAACUACUAAUUCUAAGAGUGUCUAAGAAGCUAAAAAUACAUAAGAAGCUAGUCCAUGCCGGAAGUUCAAGGCAUCAAGACUUGAAGAAGAAGAUCCAGUCCAAGCUAGAAGCAUUAGCUCACCAUGAAUUUCCGAUGUAGUAAGACUGGCUUGAAUUACUGUUGAGUUGAAGACGAUGGCACGUUUGCUACACUCCACAAAUAAACAAGAAGAGAACAUAAAAGUAGGGGUCAGUACAAAACACGGGUACAGAGUAGAUAUCAUCGGCCAACUCAAAAUAGAAAUCAAUAUAUACCGAGUAAUAUCAUAAAAUCAACUAUGAUACUCAACAUGUAGCAACAACAAAUACUAUAUCAUUAACAAUUACCGUCAAGUUCACACAUGAGGACUCAAGCCUCGAUACCAUACUCAUUUGGGAAUCAUGUUCAUUAGAUUGAGUAUAUUAACAUCUUUCAAGAUUCAUUAUCUUUAUUUCUCUUGUGUCGGUACGUGACACUCCGCUCCCUCAAUAUUCAUUAAUCCUCUUGUGUCAGUACGUGACACUCCGAUCCCCUAAAUCUAUGUGUCGGUUCGUGACACCCGAUCCCCUAAUACUACGUGUCGGUUCGUGACACCCGAUCCCCUAAUUCUACGUGUCGGUUCGUGACACCCGAUCCCCUAAUACUAUGUGUCGGUUCGUGACACCCGAUCCCCUAAUUCUACGUGUCAGUUCGUGACACCCGAUCCCCUAAUCUCCUUCCAUCAAUUCAUCAAGCCUUCUUUCUUACCAAGGCAUCAUCAAUCCCAUUAUUUUAGUUCAUCACGCCUUCUUUUAUACCAAGGCCUCAUUAUUAACAAGGAGAUUAAGAUUUUGCAAGAUUUGGGAUUCAAUAACUUCAUCAUGCUUAUAUAAUCACAAUUAUAUAAUUACAUUCAUGCAAGCAUACAAUUAAGCACAUAGCAGGGUUUACAAUAUUAUCAAUACAUAUCAUUCUCUAUUAAGAUUUUACUACGAAUAUCGUAAGAGAAACCAUAACCUACCUCCACCGAAGAAUUGAAAUCAAGCAAGUUAAUCCUCAAAGCUUGGUGCUCUCCUCUUCUCUCGAUCGUUUCUCCCUCUCCCUUCUUGUUCUUUCUGUUUUCUUAUUCAAACCCUCUUUCUUUUACCCUAAUUAGUAUAUAAUUAAGAAUAAAAUAUGGCAAUAAUACCCCACUAAUUAACUUAAGUUUACCUCUUUUAACCCCCAAGAAUUUGAGUUAUUAAUAUAAACCCACGAAAUAUAUAAUUAUAGCAGGAAUAGUCCAAAACGCCCCUUUAAAACUUAACCAGAAAUUCGACUCCAACUGGGAUUACGCAAGCUGUGACGGGCCGUCGCGCCUGCGACGGUCCGUCUUGCUGUCCGUCGCAUAGUUCAGAAACUUGAUUUUGGGUGAAUGGCCUGUGACGGUCCGUCCUGCCACUCCGUUGCGAAGUUCAGAGAGUCGAUUUUCAGUACCCAAUUUCAGAUUUUCUAAGUGUUUUAAAAUGAGACCCUGCGACGGUCCGUCCUGCCCAUGACGGUCCGUCGUUGGGUCCGUCGCCUCAGCCUGUUUUUCCAGAAUAAAAUCUGCUGCUCAAAACGACUAAACAGGUCGUUACAGAGAUAAAUAGGUUUUUACCGGUGUUGCCGACCUUGUUAAAGAAGAGUGUCGUACGACCAUGAUCCACAAAGAUAUAAACUUUUCUAGGCUUAUAGUGCAUGCCGAAUUCAUAAAGAACAAAGAAAGAAAAUAAAAAUAAAAUCACAUUAUACAAGUUAUAAUAUUGAUUCUGCACAAGAUAGAAAAUAUGCAGAAUUAAGGCCAACAUGACAGAGAGUGCUGGCAGCCAGUCCCAACAAAUGAACAAACUAAAGAUUUCUUAACAUUCACCAUUUUGAGAGAAUCAUCUUGAAUUCAUGCUAUGAACAAGAUCUUAUUUUAAAACAACAAUCGAUAUUUAUCCAAAUCAAUGCUUAUAAGACAGGUUAAGGAAACCAAUUUUUGAUAAAAACAUAGUUAAAUUCUAAUACAGAAGACAACAAAUUAAGGCAGAAAACAACAACUAUAUAACAUGGAUUUCGAAGUCGAAUAAGAAUAACAAUAUCUAGAAUCACAUAUAUGUACAUAUUUAUGAGCUCAACUAAGUAAAGAAUCAGAUUCAUAUCUUAAGAAAACAACCAUCAAUGAAGCAAAAUAUUUAAUAAACUCAUUCAAAGUUGACUUAACUAAGAGAUCAGGAUAAUGAAAACUUUUGGUGCUAAUCACAUAAACAUCACCCUUAUUUUAACUAAUCACAUUGAAUCUAAAAGAUGAUUAACAAUACUAUGACAAAUAACAAUUCUACAAUGUAACACAAAGAAAAGGUUGAAGAAAAGACUGAAGAAAGAGCAAGAAGAUUACAUGGUUUUGGGAAGCAAAUUGGGCGAAUGCGUUCGGCAGAGACGAUUUCACCACCGCCUCAACUCUCAACUCGAAUAACCACAAAAGCCGAAAUUUUGAAAUAUUGAGAUAAGAAUUCCCAAAACUUUUAGGUAUACAGUGAAGAGAAUCCUAUUUGUAAGGGGAAAAGGGGAAGAAAAAGGGGUCUAAAUCAAAUGGGAGAAUUCCAAAUUCAAAAUUCUCUAAAGAUAAGGCUUUGAUAGCUACAACCAUACCAAUUUCAAAAGACUGAGGACGUGAGCCCACUGAUUUAGGGCAAGGACGACGAGGCAUCAAGAUUGAGACACCUGGCCUUGUUAUCGAACGUUCCUCAUACGAGAAGAUAAGGGAGAGCAGAGCAAGUCACGCGAUGCUUGGAGGUCGCGAUUACACAGGGUUUCGAUUUGGGUUUGCAGCGCGUUGAAGAAGACAAAGAACGAAUAGAAGGUCGCGUAUGUACUGGUUGUAUUGUACACGCCUGUUUUGCUGGAUUUGGAACGGGUUAGGUCGAUGGCCUUGGUCCAGAUUUGGGUCUGUCUGGGCUUAUCAAGUUGAAGUCCAAUUGGAUUCAAAGAGAACAUGCCCUUGGUCUCGAAAAU